rnacentral:lncRNA from 1 species
GGAAUGUGAGUGAAGGAGAUUGGUGUCAGGCUGAUAAGGCUGCUAAGUGAUGGUAGCUGAGAUCUCACCACCUAAUUACAGAGCCCCUCACCCGGCCUGCAGCUGCCAGCCUGAGAUAAGAGCCGGCAGCUGAUGGAGGAGAGAGCGGCUCUCAGGAUGGGGAGAGGAGGCUGCCGGCCGGGCGGACCAGCCAGGGAUACACACAGCUCCACUGCACUCUGUCUCUCUAUCUCUCUCUCUUUCUCUCUUUCUCCCUCUCUCACUCUUCUUUCUCUCUCUUUAUCUCCCUCUCUCUUCUUUCUCUCUCACUUUUUCUCUCAUUUUAUCUAUUCUCCCUUUCCCUCACUAUCUCUGUCUCUCUCUUUCUUUCUCUCUCUCUCUAUCUAUUCUCUUUAUCUCUAUCCAUCUCUCUCCAUACCUCACUCUUUCUCUCCCUCUCUCUCUGUAUCCAUUCCUUUACCUUAUCUAUUCCCUCUCUCCUUUUCUCUUUCUCACUCUCUCUCCUCCUUCUUUCUUUCUCACCCUGUCUUUCCUCCCUGUCUCAUACCUUAUCUUUUCUAGCUGUGUCUCUCUCCAUCUUCUCUCUCUCUUUUCUCUCACCUUAUCUAUCUAUCUAUCUAUCUAUCUAUCUAUCUAUCUAUCUAUAUUGAUUCAAGUCUGUCUCUCCUUUCUCUCUUGUUAUCUCUCUUGCUCUCUUUCCAUCUUCUCACACUCUCUCUUUCUAUUCUCUUUAAACCUCUCUAUCUAUCUCUCCCUCUUUAUCUCUAUCCAUCUCUCUCCAUCCCUCACUUGCUCUCUCUUUCUCUCUCUCACACUCUAUCUAUCUAUCUAUCUAUCUAUCUAUCUAUCUAUCUAUCUAUCUAUCUAUCUAUCUAUCUAUCUAUCUAUCUAUCUAUCUAUCUAUCUAUCUAUCUAUCUAUCUAUCUUCUCAUCACUGACCUCAGCUUCAUCAUUGAAACACUCCCCCAACCCACCCCCACCUGUCCACCUCUCCCCCAAC